CUUUAACCUGUAAGGGGCGGGGCUUGUCCCGGCAAGGCGUCCCAAAGUACCUGGGAACCACCAUUUUGCCGUACGGCACUGGCUUCUAGGGGACUCGGGCCUGCAGCCUUGGAGCUCUUUUCAUCCGGUGCUUCUACGACUUGACCAAUCAGAAACUUCCUGGUCUCGGGCCCAAUCGCCCGCGAGUCGCGUGCAGGGAGGAUUAAACCACCUUUCCACGGAGGGGAAGAGGGCGGUGCAGGGUGGAUAAAGCAUUGGGCUCUCUAAGGCUGUGCAGCGUUUCCUGAAAAGGCUGGAGUGUCUGAAGUGGGAAAUAAAAUCUUUUCCUUUCGCUGGGCUGUUGGCACGCCUUCUGGCCCCGCUUUCCCAUCUCGGAGGUACCCGUUUCCACGGCUUAAUCGACUGCGCUCGCCCCUUCACUGCAAAGGCAGCGCGCUCCUUGCCGCUGUCCAGCAGCUACCUCCACUGCCGGAGGCUGGGUCUCUGAUCGAGAAAUCAUAACACAUACAUACAAAUGAGCACAACGCGCUACACAGAUGGGUUGUGCUUAUUAUUGCUAUUGCCGAUUUGCUGUUCAAGCUCCACUAGAGAACUACAGACCAACCAAGCUGAUGGGGCCCGAGUGGCUCUUCUCUGAAGGACAAGAAGGGCCGGCGGUGAAGACCAAGACCCUGCUUUGUCGUGGAGGUCCAGAGCCCGGAGGGCGGGUGAUGAAGGCGCUGGGACUUUGAGAAGAACUCAGAUUGCCGCCAGGAGAGCUGGGAGACGGAAUGAGGCUCAUAAAAUACCGCAGGUCUCGUCUCCUCUUCUUGAGAGUCGAGUAAAGAACGAAGAGGGAAGAAAUCGGGUGUGAUGCCCGCCACGCCCAAUUUAGGGAGGUUGAAGGUUCCUGGAGGCAAGGCUGGGUCGAGAGGUGAGAGAUGAAGAAACCAGAAAGGUUAAUAUGGUCCCAGUUAAUGAGAGCCCCACCUGUUCAUUCUUCCGCAUUCCACAAGUGGUGGGCACCUUGCCAAAAUCCAGGACCGCAGACCUUACGUUCCUGUCACUCUCAAGACUCCCAGAACCUCAAAGUCACCCUUCAAUUGAAGAAUCCCACAUCGCUUCUCUACAUUGUCUAAACCUACAGCCUUCAAAUUGGGGAACAGGAAAACCUUCCAAAAAGUUGAGACUUGAGAUAUAAAGAAUUUAAUUUCCAGAUCCUCGAUUUUCCUGAAACUGGUCUUCCUAAAUAGACGCGGACUUUAGAUUCCCCCUUUCCCCUUCCUUUUCCUGAUGGACCUUCUUCCUCUUAAAAAGAAAAAAAAAAAGAGGGAGAGAGGUAGUUCUCAACUAUGAAAUCCCCUGGGGCAAUCUUACCUCUUAAAUAUAGAAGCAUGUAGCCUAUUUCUUUCAUCAAAGCUCUGUGAACACCACCUCUUCUAAUUUAUUAAAAUUUCGCUUUAAUUUAAAAAUUUGCAUAUUUUUAUGCGAUUUAAUAGAUUUUUUUUUUUAAUCCGGGAUUGAACCCAGGGUCGUUUAAUCAAGGAGCCACAUCUCCGGCCCUUUUAUAUAUUUAAAGACAAGGUCUCAUUGAGUUGUUUAGGGCCUCACUAAAUUGCUGAGGCUGACCUUGAACUCAGGAUCCUCCUGCCUCAGCCUCAAGAGCCUCUAGGAUUACAGGGGUAGACCACUGAGCCCUGCGGAUUAUUUUUUUAUAAGUGUAAUGAUAACCCAAAAUUUUUUAACUGGAGUCCUACAAUCAUAACAAAGAGUUUUCUUCUCAAUUAAUAUAUAUGUAUAUACAGGGAGAUAUGAUUGGUCAGUAUAAAAACUACAGGGCUAGGGGCUAGGAUAUGGCUUAGAGUCCCCACUUCGCAUGUGCAAGGCCAUUGGUUCAAUCUCCAGCACAAAACAAAAAAACUUUCUAGUAUAAAAACAGACAGCCUGGGGAUGUGGCUCAAGUGGUAGCGCGAUCCCCUGGCAUGCACGCUGCGCUGGGUUCGAUCCUCAGCACCACAUACAAAUAAAGAUGUUGUGUCUGCC
rnacentral:lncRNA from 1 species